rnacentral:rRNA from 1 species
GACGAACGCUGGCGGCAUGCCUAACACAUGCAAGUCGAACGGAGAUUAUUUCGGUAAUCUUAGUGGCGAGCGGGUGAGUAACGCGUGGGCAACCUGCCCUCUAGAUGGGGACAACAUCCCGAAAGGGGUGCUAAUACCGAAUGUGACAGCAAUCUCGCAUGAGGAUGCUGUGAAAGAUGGCCUCUAUUUAUAAGCUAUCGCUAGAGGAUGGGCCUGCGUCUGAUUAGCUAGUUGGUGGGGUAACGGCCUACCAAGGCGAUGAUCAGUAGCCGGUCUGAGAGGAUGAACGGCCACAUUGGGACUGAGACACGGCCCAGACUCCUACGGGAGGCAGCAGUGGGGAAUCUUCCGCAAUGGGCGAAAGCCUGACGGAGCAAUGCCGCGUGAGUGAUGAAGGAAUUCGUUCCGUAAAGCUCUUUUGUUUAUGACGAAUGUGCAGAUUGUGAACAAUGAUCUGUAAUGACGGUAGUAAACGAAUAAGCCACGGCUAACUACGUG